CCUACGGGAGGCAGCAGUGAGGAAUAUUGGACAAUGGGCGCAAGCCUGAUCCAGCCAUGCCGCGUGCAGGAAGAAGCAUCUAUGGUGUGUAAACUGCUUUUGUACAGGAAGAAACACUCCCUCGUGAGGGAGCUUGACGGUACUGUAAGAAUAAGGACCGGCUAACUCCGUGCCAGCAGCCGCGGUAAUACGGAGGGUCCGAGCGUUAUCCGGAAUCAUUGGGUUUAAAGGGUCCGUAGGCGGUUUAAUAAGUCAGUGGUGAAAUCUGGUCGCUCAACGAUCAAACGGCCAUUGAUACUGUUAGACUUGAAUUAUAAGGAAGUAACUAGAAUAUGUAGUGUAGCGGUGAAAUGCUUAGAUAUUACAUGGAAUACCAAUUGCGAAGGCAGGUUACUACUUAUGGAUUGACGCUGAUGGACGAAAGCGUGGGGAGCGAACAGGAUUAGAUACCCUGGUAGUCCACGCCGUAAACGAUGGAUACUAGCUGUUCGGAGCAAUCUGNGUGNUAGAGAAGUAGANAAGUAUCCACCGUCGGGAGGUACGUUCGCGAGAAGUAGUAAACGUUAAAGGUAAGUUAGUACGGCGUGAGACGUAGACCGACGGACGACGACGAGGGAGGUUAGGG
rnacentral:rRNA from 1 species